GACGAACGCUGGCGGCGUGCCUAAUACAUGCAAGUAGAACGCUGAAGAGAGGAGCUUGCUCUUCUUGGAUGAGUUGCGAACGGGUGAGUAACGCGUAGGUAACCUGCCUUGUAGCGGGGGAUAACUAUUGGAAACGAUAGCUAAUACCGUAUAACAAUGGAUGACACAUGUCAUUUAUUUGAAAGGGGCAAUUGCUCCACUACAAGAUGGACCUGCGUUGUAUUAGCUAGUAGGUGAGGUAACGGCUCACCUAGGCGACGAUACAUAGCCGACCUGAGAGGGUGAUCGGCCACACUGGGACUGAGACACGGCCCAGACUCCUACGGGAGGCAGCAGUAGGGAAUCUUCGGCAAUGGGGGCAACCCUGACCGAGCAACGCCGCGUGAGUGAAGAAGGUUUUCGGAUCGUAAAGCUCUGUUGUAAGUCAAGAACGAGUGUGAGAGUGGAAAGUUCACACUGUGACGGUAGCUUACCAGAAAGGGACGGCUAACUACGUGCCAGCAGCCGCGGUAAUACGUAGGUCCCGAGCGUUGUCCGGAUUUAUUGGGCGUAAAGCGAGCGCAGGCGGUUUGAUAAGUCUGAAGUUAAAGGCUGUGGCUCAACCAUAGUUCGCUUUGGAAACUGUCAAACUUGAGUGCAGAAGGGGAGAGUGGAAUUCCAUGUGUAGCGGUGAAAUGCGUAGAUAUAUGGAGGAACACCGGUGGCGAAAGCGGCUCUCUGGUCUGUAACUGACGCUGAGGCUCGAAAGCGUGGGGAGCGAACAGGAUUAGAUACCCUGGUAGUCCACGCCGUAAACGAUGAGUGCUAGGUGUUGGAUCCUUUCCGGGAUUCAGUGCCGCAGCUAACGCAUUAAGCACUCCGCCUGGGGAGUACGACCGCAAGGUUGAAACUCAAAGGAAUUGACGGGGGCCCGCACAAGCGGUGGAGCAUGUGGUUUAAUUCGAAGCAACGCGAAGAACCUUACCAGGUCUUGACAUCCCGAUGCUAUUUCUAGAGAUAGAAAGUUACUUCGGUACAUCGGUGACAGGUGGUGCAUGGUUGUCGUCAGCUCGUGUCGUGAGAUGUUGGGUUAAGUCCCGCAACGAGCGCAACCCCUAUUGUUAGUUGCCAUCAUUCAGUUGGGCACUCUAGCGAGACUGCCGGUAAUAAACCGGAGGAAGGUGGGGAUGACGUCAAAUCAUCAUGCCCCUUAUGACCUGGGCUACACACGUGCUACAAUGGUUGGUACAACGAGUUGCGAGUCGGUGACGGCAAGCUAAUCUCUUAAAGCCAAUCUCAGUUCGGAUUGUAGGCUGCAACUCGCCUACAUGAAGUCGGAAUCGCUAGUAAUCGCGGAUCAGCACGCCGCGGUGAAUACGUUCCCGGGCCU
rnacentral:rRNA from 1 species